GUGAAAGUGGGCCUGGCGAUGCCACCCGGCACUGUUCCCGCUGCACCAGGCUGCCCGGUCUGUGUCCAUCCGCGGGCGCCCCUCGGGGCGGGGAGCCCCAAGCACCGGCCCUAAAGAGGAGAACGGGCCGGGGCACACAGGGAGGGGACAUCAGCGUGACCGGGGGGUCCCUGCACGGAGCACCCAGGCCCCGGGCUGCAAGUGCAGCGUGCACAGUGCACUGGUCAUGUGUGCAGCAUGCCUUGCACAAGCACGGUGCUUGCAGUGCAGAGGGCACACGCACACACAGCAUGCCCGAGGCCGCAGGGCCGUGCAGCGGCAGCCAGCUCAGUGCAGUGCAGUGUGCAGUGGCAGCAAGAUUGUGCUGUGAGUGCGGUGCGGCAGCGUGCUCGGCGCGGUGCGUGUAGGCAGCGCGCUGGUGGUACAGGCGGGGGCUGUGCUGGCAGCGCACCCUAAGCAGUGCGCCCAGGCCGCCCAUGUGUUCUGUGUGAUGGGCACAGGGGGUGCAGCAAUGCCCAUGGGCUGGGAGCGUGCUUGGGGAGGCGUGCAGCUGUGCUGGGUGGGCUGAAGGGCAGUGCCCAGUGCUGAGCCCACCGUGGGCACGGGACGAGCUGGGGAUAGAGCAGGUUGGGGGCAGCGGCACUGCACAGCCCUCGCACUGCCUGCCUGUGCCACGUGCAGGGAGCGACCCAAUUCUCGGAGCCUCCCCAGGGCUCCUCCUGCAGCCCAGGGUCUCUGCUGGCCCCAAAUGCCCUCGUGCUGCUCCCUGCACGGUGCUGGGAAGGCACUGCUGGGCCCCUCAGUGCUGUGUGGGGCAACAGCUGUGGGCAGAGCGCUGCUGGCACACACAGGGCAGAGGUGUCCCCCAGCAGCAGAGGUGUGGGGGGCUGUGACGAACCACGAGGGGCCCUCCCUGGGAGAGGGUGCAGUGGGAUGCAGGUAGUGGGUUUGCUGUGCCCCCAGAGGGUGCCAUGGGCCCCAUACCGGCCCCAUGCAGAGAGCAUCUGCAGCCCCAAAAUGCUGCCAGCUGAUGGUGGCAUCCUCGGGGGGAUACAGGAGGAAGCCAGUGGGGCUGGGGGCAGAAUGGCGCUGCUGGCACCUACCAGCGGGAGGCAGGAGAGUGGAUGGGGGCAAAAUCCCUCUCCCUGCAGAGGGGACGUGGUGCUGGGGACCUGGGGGCAGUGUGAGUGUGGCAGUGCACAGGCCCGCCCUGAGGCACACAGACAGUCCCCACCCACACCUCACUGUCUGCAGCGCUCAGCCCCCUCCUGGGGGCCCUGCUGAGUUCUGCCUGAGCGCCCACAUGGGGCUGCUGUGUCACACCGGUGUCUGUCCCACCAUAGACAGCCACAGCGGGACCGUCCCUGCUGUGCCCCCCAUGCGCAGUGGAUGCCCAUGUGGGUGCUCCCUGUGCACUGCUGCAGAGCCCCCCCAGCCCCCUGCCGCGCAGCCUCCCCAUGCACCCACGCCAUCCUUGCAGAGGAGGAAUAAUUUGGGGAAACCAUGGCAACCCGGGGAUGCUCCACGCUGUCCCCGGGUUCCCCCGGCAGCGCGACCUCGUGCAGCUCAGCGGGCGGUGGGGGUGUCUGUGUGACGCACAGCCCACAUCCCUGGAGCUCACUGUGCUCUGUGGCCCCGGCAGCCACCUGCUCUCAUGGCCAGGAUCCUCACAUACCUCUUUUAUUUUGCAGAGCUGGGAUGGAGCCGCCGCGGGGCCCUCGGCCAGCUCAGCCCACCUGCCCUAUCCCUGCUGCUGCUGGACCAGGGCCAGCCACCUUCCCCUGAGGC
rnacentral:lncRNA from 1 species